UGGCGGACGGGUGAGUAAUGUCUGGGAAACUGCCUGAUGGAGGGGGAUAACUACUGGAAACGGUAGCUAAUACCGCAUAACGUCGCAAGACCAAAGAGGGGGACCUUCGGGCCUCUUGCCAUCGGAUGUGCCCAGAUGGGAUUAGCUAGUAGGUGGGGUAAAGGCUCACCUAGGCGACGAUCCCUAGCUGGUCUGAGAGGAUGACCAGCCACACCGGAACUGAGACACGGUCCAG
rnacentral:rRNA from 1 species